rnacentral:rRNA from 1 species
GCGGUGAAUACGUUCUCGGGUCUUGUACUCACCGCCCGUCACGCCAAGGGAGCCGGGAGCAGGUGAAGCCCAGUUUUGCUGGGUAAGCUUGAGCUCGGUGACAUGGGCGAAGUCGUAACAAGGCACGGGUAGCGGAAGCUGUCCGUGGAUCA